AAAUGAUGUCCGUAUGGUGAUUGAAUAUGCCAGAUUACGAGGAAUUCGAGUCCUGCCAGAAUUUGAUACCCCUGGGCAUACACUAUCUUGGGGAAAAGGUCAGAAAGACCUCCUGACUCCAUGUUACAGUAGACAAAACAAGUUGGACUCUUUUGGACCUAUAAACCCUACUCUGAAUACAACAUACAGCUUCCUUACUACAUUUUUCAAAGAAAUUAGUGAGGUGUUUCCAGAUCAAUUCAUUCAUUUGGGAGGAGAUGAAGUGGAAUUUAAAUGUUGGGAAUCAAAUCCAAAAAUUCAAGAUUUCAUGAGGCAAAAAGGCUUUGGCACAGAUUUUAAAAAACUAGAAUCUUUCUACAUUCAAAAGGUUUUGGAUAUUAUUGCAACCAUAAACAAGGGAUCCAUUGUCUGGCAGGAGGUUUUUGAUGAUAAAGCGAAGCUUGCGCCGGGCACAAUAGUUGAAGUAUGGAAAGACAGCGCAUAUCCUGAGGAACUCAGUAGAGUCACAGCAUCUGGCUUCCCUGUAAUCCUUUCUGCUCCUUGGUACUUAGAUUUGAUUAGCUAUGGACAAGAUUGGAGGAAAUACUAUAAAGUGGAACCUCUUGAUUUUGGUGGUACUCAGGAACAGAAACAACUUUUCAUUGGUGGAGAAGCUUGUCUAUGGGGAGAAUAUGUGGAUGCAACUAACCUCACUCCAAGAUUAUGGCCUCGGGCAAGUGCUGUUGGUGAGAGACUCUGGAGUUCCAAAGAUGUCAGAGAUAUGGAUGACGCCUAUGACAGACUGACAAGGCACCGCUGCAGGAUGGUCAAGUAAGAAAUCUAUUAAGUCCAGUGUGAUUUUUAACCUUCUUAUUCAGUGUUAGUUUUUUUUGCUAUAAAUAGAAAUGUAUGUUACCUAA
rnacentral:sRNA from 1 species